GAUGGUGUCUCGUCGUUUUUCAUGUUAUGGCUGAUUGUCAAAAUGUUUCUUAAUUUUUAUACGAAAUCUACCGACUAAUUCAUCGGUAAAUUCAAGUUUAUUUUUGUGCAACUUGUUUGUGAUGUGAUUUAUUCCGUAUCUGUGUUGGAUCAUCUUUCAAAUUCCUCAAACUUACAUGUAGCAAGGAACGGGAAAGGAAACAGUAACAUACAAGUAGCCUACCAUCGCUACCACCAACCCUCUUUUAUUAAAAAUCGUCGUUCUGCUGAAUGCAUUAUCCAGUUCAUACAGCAGUUUCUAUUGAUCUUGGUAGGUCACUACUCGUCAAUACCCCAGUGUGGACAUGUUUGUUUUUCUGAACAUGUUUUAAAUAAUGCAUUGGCGUACAAGUAUUAUUCUUCUUUCAGUUUUAAACUGAUGUCAUAGAUUGUAUUUUCUGUCAUAGGGAAAGCUACGAAAAAUAUAUCAUCUAGGCCAAGGGCAAUCUUCAGGUUUAUUGCAGCAGCUUAAGAGAAGAAUGUGAACAAAUGCAGGGCACAUAUCAACAAGUGUUGUAUUUUUCUGAAUGUUAAACACGAGCAGUAGAUUCAACAUGACUAACUGUUUGAUGCCAAAGUUAGUUGCCUAGUUGGAACUCAACUCACUGUACGUUCUGUAACACAGAUAACUGGUGCUGUUGCCUUACAGCCACAGGCAGGAAAAUGAUUCUUUUCUUCAGAAAAUUGGAAAGCUGCUGGAGUAAUCUGGUGUUCAUGCACAUUUGAUUCAUUUCGUGCCAGCUAGUGAAAGCCGAAAGACAUGUCGAAUUCAAGCUGAGCUGCUGCUUUCUGUCUGGAAGCAAGCAAUCCAGCCGUUGCGUUGAGUCAUUUGAACAGGUAUCUAAUGGCUGUCAAUAGGUGGCUGUCGAAAGCUGGCUGGAAUGUCCACCAGGUAGCGCGAGUGUCUUCAGGGACGCAUUUCGGCCAUUUUGUUCCAAGACACAGCAGAAAUGGGUUGCUGGUUGUGACGUUUCUCGCGAUGAAAAUUAAAAGGUUAUUUAUCACGUAGAAACCAAUUUGCCAAAUCAUUCAUCUCACACUUGGAAUUGCCUGUUCAUUGCCGAAAUGGCGUGCCUCGUGUGUCUCGCUGCCUGUUCUUAGGAGUUAGGGCGUACUUCUCAUCACAUGCAACAGUAAAAAGUAUUACAAACGCUUCUUUAAAGCUGUUGGGGUUACCUUGUUGCAGCCAAAUGGUGAAAGGUGUGACGAAGACAGAUUGAACCGUUGUAUGCAGCAUGAGGUUGCAGUGUGAUCCAGUAGUAGCUGUGUUGGACCUGAAAUUGCUAUGCUGUUGUAGCCGAGCUGUUCCAUCUGGGUUCCUGACUUCAAAUUUUUAAGUUGUCGUUUGUGUUUUAAUCCAUGCCAUAUGAAAUUGCUCCGCCAGUGAUAUUUGUGUUCUGACUUGAAAGUGUUUGAUCUGUCGUCUUUUGAGUUUUCAUUCAA